rnacentral:lncRNA from 1 species
CCUGGAGUCUAUCUUCGGAGUAGCCCUUGAUCUAACUGGACCAGCCGAAGAUUCCAUCUACGCAGAAUCAUAGAAACUUCUUUGAAAUAGGCCUGAACCUUGGCUAACCUUCUACUCCAGAAGACUUCACUGAGUCAAGCUUACUGCCUGGGAGAUUGCCUCCAUGGAGUGACCCAGAAUCCAGGAUGCUUUCAUCUUGUGGAUCUACUUCAUGAUCUCCAUGAUUACUCACAAAAGGAAAGAGAACAUAAAGAUACACACCAGAUCCAAGCAUUUCCUGGACUGCGGGCCAUCUUCGACUCUUUCCACCACAACUAGCUGUUCUCCGAUGAUCCAUUUAGCAGCUUCUUCCAUCCAGAGUAGCACUGUCUCCUGCAUUUUACCACCACAGGCUUCCAGUAGAUUUAUCUGUGACACACAGAGCAAGGAUUACAGCCGUUUGUCUUCCAACAGUAAGAUUAACCGUGUUCUCACAAGAGACCCCAACACUUCCAAGAUGGUGUCUUUUUUUCCUUCUCAGAGACAUGAAUGCAAUCUCAGGCACACAAUAGAAGCAGUGCCAAUAACGUCUAUUCUUGUCAGCCUCACAAACAGCCUCAUUACUUGGUAACUGCAAACAUGGUUUGAAGUUGCUGCUCCUGCCAAGCUGAAGUCUACCGAUGCCGAGGUCCAGUGAUUGAAAAUUCCAGAUUACAGGCAGAAGGGGAUGAAGAGUUGUUUAUAGCCCUUGCUCAUCUGCUAAAAGCCUCUGGCCAGAAACAGUUCUCUGUUUGAAGGAAAGUAAAUAUCUUCUGCAGCUGAAAAUAAAUGUGUUUUGAGGUAAAUCUAGGCA